CCCUUAGACGUUCUGGGCCGCACGCGCGCUACACUGACCAGUGCAACAAGCAUCCGUCCUUGGCCGACAGGCCCGGGCAAUCUUUGAACGCUGGUCGUGAUGGGGAUAGACUUUUGCAAUUUUUGGUCUUCAACGAGGAAUUCCUAGUAAACGCAAGUCAUCAACUUGCAUUGAUUACGUCCCUGCCCUUUGUACACACCGCCCGUCGCACCUACCGAUUGAAUGGUCCGGUGAAGCCUCCGGAUUGGCGCGCACCUCGGUGCCGCCGAGAAGUUGGCUAAAUCUUACCAUUUAGAGGAAGGUGAAGUCGUAACA
rnacentral:rRNA from 1 species